UGAACGCUGGCGGUAGGCCUAACACAUGCAAGUCGAACGGCAGCACAGUAAGAGCUUGCUCUUACGGGUGGCGAGUGGCGGACGGGUGAGGAAUACAUCGGAAUCUACUUUUUCGUGGGGGAUAACGUAGGGAAACUUACGCUAAUACCGCAUACGACCUACGGGUGAAAGCAGGGGAUCUUCGGACCUUGCGCGAUUGAAUGAGCCGAUGUCGGAUUAGCUAGUUGGCGGGGUAAGGGCCCACCAAGGCGACGAUCCGUAGCUGGUCUGAGAGGAUGAUCAGCCACACUGGAACUGAGACACGGUCCAGACUCCUACGGGAGGCAGCAGUGGGGAAUAUUGGACAAUGGGCGCAAGCCUGAUCCAGCCAUACCGCGUGGGUGAAGAAGGCCUUCGGGUUGUAAAGCCCUUUUGUUGGGAAAGAAAAGCAGCAGGUUAAUACCCCGCUGUUCUGACGGUACCCAAAGAAUAAGCACCGGCUAACUUCGUG
rnacentral:rRNA from 1 species